rnacentral:lncRNA from 12 species
GCUCCAGCGACUGCGUGGGCUAAUGGGAAGUAACAUUCUUCCAAUGGGUGUCAUCAGUCAGUGAAUUCUAGGAGUUGGCAAGCAACAAUAAAAGUAGCUUAUGAAAGAGCAAGAAAUGAGUAGAGACACCCAAAAUUGGCCAGUAGAAUAUGCAAAUAUUCUCCACGGUUGCCUGUGAAAUUAAGAAAGGAGAAUGUGAAGGGAACAUGCAUAUCUGCAAUCCUGCAAGAGGAAAUUUGAAGAAGCACAACCCCAGAAAAUGUGAACAUUAGAAGAAGAAUCUUAGGAGGGAGAAGGUAUCAAGAAAGAAAACUUGACAGAUGAGAGAUUUUCUCACAGGAUGUCAUAACCGAAAGGAACGUAAGAGUGUUACCUGGGAAAGAAACCAUCAUAGCUGAAAAAUCAAAAGAAGCCAGGUAGAGAAGGAAAUGAAAAUGAAGAGCUGGUAAGGAAGAGAACUUUUCUGUAAUUUAGCAGCCUUCAAAACAGAGGUAUUCCC